rnacentral:rRNA from 1 species
AUUGAACGCUGGCGGCAGGCCUAACACAUGCAAGUCGAACGAGUGGCGGACGGGUGAGUAAUGUCUGGGAAACUGCCUGAUGGAGGGGGAUAACUACUGGAAACGGUAGCUAAUACCGCAUACCAUCAGAUGUGCCCAGGUGGGAUUGGCUUGUUGGUGGGGUAACGGCUCACCAAGGCGAUGAUCCCUAGCUGGUCUGAGAGGAUGACCAGCCAAACUGGAACUGAGACAGGGGCAGGACGCCUACGGGAGGCAGCAGUGGGGAAUAUUGCACAAUGGGCGCAAGCCUGAUGCGGCCAUGCCGCGUGUAUGAAGAGGGCUUUCGGGUGGUAAAGUACUUUCAGCGGGGAGGCGUUACCCGCAGAAGAAGCACCGGCUAACUCCGUGCCAGCAGCCGCGGUAAUAC